rnacentral:rRNA from 1 species
AUACAGAAGGCCCGAGCGUUAAUCAGAAUUACUGGGCUUAAAGCGUGCGCAGGCGGUCCAGAAAGUAUCUCGUGAAAUCCCUCGGCUCAACCGGGGAACUGCGGGGUAAACUUCUGGACUUGAGAAAGGUAGGGGCUGAUGGAACCAUGAGUGGAGCGGUGAAAUGCGUAGAUAUUCAUGGGAACGCCGAUGGGGAAGCCGAUCAGCUGGGCCUUUUCUGACGCUCAUGUACGAAAGCGUGGGGAGCAAACAGGAUUAGAAACCCUAGUAGUCC